rnacentral:rRNA from 1 species
AGGACGAACGCUGGCGGCGUGCCUAACACAUGCAAGUCGAGCGAGGAGAUCCUCGGGAUGAUCCUAGCGGCGGACGGGUGAGUAACACGUGGGCAACCUGCCUCAUAGAGAGGAAUAGCCUUCCGAAAAGGGAGAUUAAUACCUCAUAACAUUGCAGUUUCGCAUGGAACAGCAAUUAAAGGAGUAAUCCGCUAUGAGAUGGGCCCGCGGCGCAUUAGCUAGUUGGUGAGGUAAUGGCUCACCAAGGCGACGAUGCGUAGCCGACCUGAGAGGGUGAUCGGCCACAUUGGGACUGAGACACGGCCCAGACUCCUACGGGAGGCAGCAGUGGGGAAUAUUGCACAAUGGGGGAAACCCUGAUGCAAGCAACGCCGCGUGAGUGAUGACGGCCUUCGGGUUGUAAAGCUCUGUCUUCAGGGACGAUAAUGACGGUACCUGAGGAGGAAGCCACGGCUAACUACGUGCCAGCCGCAGC